rnacentral:rRNA from 1 species
AUGACUGGGGUGAAGUCGUAACAAGGUAGCCGUACCGGAAGGUGUGGCUGGAUCACCUCCUUUUAGGGAGA